AUUGAACGCUGGCGGCAUGCCUUACACAUGCAAGUCGAACGGUAACGCGGGGCAACCUGGCGACGAGUGGCGAACGGGAGAGUAACGCAUCGGAACGAGCCCAGUAGUGGGGGAUAGCCCGGCGAAAGCCGGACUAAUACCGCAUACGACCUACGGGUGCAAGGGGGGGAUCGCAAGACCUCUCGCUAUUGGAGCGGGCGAUGUCAGAUUAGGUUGUUGGUGGGGUAAAGGCCCACCAGGCCUUCGAUCUGUAGCUGGUCUGAGAGGACGACCAGCCACACUGGGACUGAGACACGGCCCAGACUCCUACGGGAGGCAGCAGUGGGGAAUUUUGGACAAUGGGCGCAAGCCUGAUCCAGCCAUGCCGCGUGCGGGAAGAAGGCCUUCGGGUUGUAAACCGCUUUUGUCAGGGAAGAAACGCUCUGGGCUAAUACCCCGGGGUAAUGACGGUACCUGAAGAAUAAGCACCGGCUAACUACGUGCCAGCCGCCGCGGUAA
rnacentral:rRNA from 1 species